AGAGUUUGAUCAUGGCUCAGGACGAACGCUGGCGGCGUGCUUAACACAUGCAAGUGGAGCGACGAAGCGGGCUUCGGCCCGUGGCAGAGCCGCGAAUGGGUGAGUAACACGUGGGUAACCUACCUCGAUGACCGGGACAACCCGAGGAAACUCGGGCUAAUACCGGAUGUGCUGCAUUCUUGUAAGGGGAUUCAGUAAAGAUAGCUUUGGCCUUCGCAUCGAGACGGGCCCGCGGCCCAUUAGCUUGUUGGUGAGGUAACGGCUUACCAAGGCGACGAUGGGUAGCUGGUCUGAGAGGACGAUCAGCCACACUGGGACUGAGACACGGCCCAGACUCCUACGGGAGGCAGCAGUGGGGAAUCUUGCGCAAUGGGCGAAAGCCUGACGCAGCAACGCCGCGUGGGGGAAGAAGGCCUUCGGGUUGUAAACCCCUUUCAGUUGGGACGAAGCUUCCAGCGUUAAUAGCGUUGUGGAGUGACGGUACCUUCAGAAGAAGCCCCGGCUAACUACGUGCCAGCAGCCGCGGUAAUAC
rnacentral:rRNA from 1 species